rnacentral:rRNA from 1 species
AGUGGCGGACGGGUGAGUAACGCGUAAGAAUCUAACUUCAGGACGGGGACAACAGUGGGAAACGACUGCUAAUACCCGAUGUGCCGCGAGGUGAAACCUAAUUGGCCUGAAGAAGAGCUUGCGUCUGAUUAGCUAGUUGGUGGGGUAAGAGCCUACCAAGGCGACGAUCAGUAGCUGGUCUGAGAGGAUGAGCAGCCACACUGGGACUGAGACACGGCCCAGACUCCUACGGGAGGCAGCAGUGGGGAAUUUUCCGCAAUGGGCGAAAGCCUGACGGAGCAGCGCCGCGUGAGGGAGGAAGGUCUUUGGAUUGUAAACCUCUUUUCUCAAGGAAGAAGUUCUGAUGGUACUUGAGGAAUCAGCCUCGGCUAACUCCGUGCCAGCAGCCGCGGUAAUACGGGGGAGGCAAGCGUUAUCCGGAAUUAUUGGGCGUAAAGCGUCCGCAGGUGGUCAGCCAAGUCUGCCGUCAAAUCAGGUUGCUUAACGACCUAAAGGCGGUGGAAACUGGCAGACUAGAGAGCAGUAGGGGUAGCAGGAAUUCCCAGUGUAGCGGUGAAAUGCGUAGAGAUUGGGAAGAACAUCGGUGGCGAAAGCGUGCUACUGGGCUGUAUCUGACACUCAGGGACGAAAGCUAGGGGAGCGAAAGGGAUUAGAUACCCCUGUAGUCCUAGCCGUAAACGAUGGAUACUAGGCGUGGCUU